GAUGAAGAACGCAGCGAAAUGCGAUACGUAAUGUGAAUUGCAGAAUUCAGUGAAUCAUCGAGUCUUUGAACGCACAUUGCGCCCCCUCGUAUUCCGGGGGGCAUGCCUGUCCGAGCGUCAUUGCUGCCCUCAAGCACGGCUUGUGUGUUGGGCCUCCGUCCUCCUCCCGGGGGACGGGCCCGAAAGGCAGCGGCGGCACCGCGUCCGGUCCUCGAGCGUAUGGGGCUUCGUCACCCGCUCUUGUAGGCCCGGCCGGCGCUUGCCGACACAUCAAUCUUUUUUCCAGGUUGACCUCGGAUCAGGUAGGGAUACCCGCUGAACUUAAGCAUAUCAAUAAGCGGAGGA
rnacentral:misc_RNA from 1 species